rnacentral:lncRNA from 10 species
GAGAGUCCCCAUGGCCCCAGCAGCAAGCCCCUGCCUCUCUCCUGUCCGGCUGCUGCCCCACUCUGAGGCCCAGGUUCUCUUCUCCCAAGAGCGAGUGCGUUGGGUCAAGGUCACCCCAUCUGGAAGCUACCUAGACCCCAGCAAUGUUACCUGACCUGUGACACCUUUGUUCCUGUGUCCUCCUCUGUGCCGCCCAUGGUGAAUGUGGCUUCUCUGUCUACAUGGAUGCACUCCCACCACACUGGGAGCUUCUGGGGCACAGGAGUCCUGCUUUACUUCCUAUGUUGAGCCCAGGGACUGCCCAAGAUAAUGCCCAGUGCAGGAAUGUUUCCACCAGGGGUCACAGGAAUGGCUCUGCUGCCCUGGGGGCUGAGUUGGCCACCUGUCUGGUGCCACCAAGUUAACAAGCAAAGCAGCAUGAAGGCAGUGGCUGGGGAAUCAACCCUGAUUAUCAAGGAUAGGAGGCCUGAAGAACCACAUGAAGAGAGUGCCCACAACCCAGAGGAUCUCCUGGAUACAGCUGUGUUACCAUGAUGUCCAGUGGAAGACACCACAACCCCAUUCAGGAGGGACCUCCAAGCCUGAAAGCCUCAGAGUGAUGGUUUGACUCACACCACCAGUAAAAUAACUUCCAACAAGCUGAGCAAGAAGAAAAGGGGAAUUGUGGCAAAUUGCAUUUUCCGAAAAUGGUCACCUUACCACUAUUCCAUCAAGAGGUGGUGCUAUGGUUUGAAUGUGUCCCCCAAAGUUCAUGCGCUGAAAACUUUACGUAAACACAAAUGCAAUAGUGUUGAAUGGUGGGACCUUUCAACACUAUCGCAAGGGUGAUUAGGUGCUGAUGGCUCUGCCCUCAUGAAUGGAUUGUCAUUGUUGAGGGAGUGGGUUCCUGAUGAGAGAAUGGGUACAGCCUUUCCCUCUUUCUCACAUGUGCUCUUGUCCUUCUGCCAUAAGAUCAUGGAGCAAGAAGGCUCUUGAAAGAUGCCGGUCCCUGGACCUUGGACUUCCCAGCCUCCAGAACUGUAAGAAAUAAAUCUCUGUUCGAUAUGAA